AGAGUUUGAUCCUGGCUCAGGACGAACGCUGGCGGUGUGCUUCACACAUGCAAGUCGAACGAGGUAGCAAUACCUAGUGGCGGACGGGUGAGUAACGCGUGGGAAUCUGCCUUUAGAUGGGGGAUAACGGGUCGAAAGACUCGCUAAUACCGCAUAUGACGAAAGUUGAAAGGAGUAAUCCGUCUAAAGAUGAGCCCGCGUCCGAUUAGCUAGUUGGUAGAGUAAAAGCCUACCAAGGCGACGAUCGGUAGCUGGUCUGAGAGGAUGAUCAGCCACAAUGGGACUGAGACACGGCCCAUACUCCUACGGGAGGCAGCAGUGGGGAAUUUUACGCAAUGGGGGAAAGCCUGACGUAGCGACACCGCGUGAGCGAAGAAGCCCCUUGGGCUGUAAAGCUCUGUCAGCUGGAACGAAAAAAAUGACGGUACCAGCAGAGGAAGCAUCGGCUAACUACGUGCCAGCAGCCGCGGUAAGACGUAGGAUGCAAGCGUUGUCCGGAUUUAUUGGGCGUAAAGAGUUCGUAAGUGGUUUGUUAAGUUUGGUGUUAAAGAUUGGGGCUCAACCCUGAAACUGCACUGAAUACUGGCAGACUCGAGUGUGGUAGAGGCUAGUGGAAUUCCCAGUGUAGCGGUGAAAUGCGUAGAUAUUGGGAAGAACACCGGUGGCGUAGGCGACUAGCUGGGCCAUAACUGACACUGAGGAACGAAAGCCAGGGGAGCGAAUGGGAUUAGAUACCCCAGUAGUCCUGGCCGUAAACGAUGGAUACUAGGCGUAUCGGGUAUCGACCCCUGAUGUGCCGCAGCUAACGCGAUAAGUAUCCCGCCUGAGUAGUACGGCCGCAAGGUUGAAACUCAAAGGAAUUGACGG
rnacentral:rRNA from 1 species